GUCGACAGCCAUCCCACCCUGAACGCAUACGAUCUCGUCUGGUCUCCCAAGCUAACCAGGGUCGGACCUGGUUAGUGCUUGGAUGGGCAAGGCCAAAGAAAUUGGGGUGGAGGCA
rnacentral:rRNA from 1 species